rnacentral:rRNA from 1 species
UACAGAGGUGGCAAGCGUUGUUCGGAAUUACUGGGCGUAAAGGGCGCGUAGGCGGCCAUCUAAGUCAGACGUGAAAUCCCCCGGCUUAACCUGGGAACUGCGUCUGAUACUGGACGGCUUGAGUAUGGGAGAGGGAUGUAGAAUUCCAGGUGUAGCGGUGAAAUGCGUAGAUAUCGAGAGGAACACCUGCGGCGAAGGCGGGUUGCUGGGCUGACACUGACGCUGAUGCGCGAAAGCCAGGGGAGCGAACGGG